AUAUUUCUGAAAUACUCGCUAAGCUCUUAUUUUGAACCUACAUUUAAGCUUCGGGAGUCUAAUAUUUAUGAUGAAGAAAUGUACUUUCUUGUAAGUCCUUUUACGGCAUUGAAGGCAAUUGAAGCAUCUGUGAGGAUAUCUACCUAUCGAGAGAUAGGUGUCAAAAUCAGAGUAUCGAUAUUUUGGAUUUUUA
rnacentral:misc_RNA from 1 species